rnacentral:rRNA from 1 species
UACGGGAGGCAGCAGUGGGGAAUAUUGCACAAUGGGCGCAAGCCUGAUGCAGCCAUGCCGCGUGUAUGAAGAAGGCCUUCGGGUUGUAAAGUACUUUCAGCGGGGAGGAAGGGAGUAAAGUUAAUACCUUUGCUCAUUGACGUUACCCGCAGAAGAAGCACCGGCUAACUCCGUGCCAGCAGCCGCGGUAAUACGGAGGGUGCAAGCGUUAAUCGGAAUUACUGGGCGUAAAGCGCACGCAGGCGGUUUUGUUAAGUCAGAUGUGAAAUCCCCGGGCUCAACCUGGGAACUGCAUCUGAUACUGGCAAGCUUGAGUCUCGUAGAGGGGGUAGAAUUCCAGGUGUAGCGGUGAAUGCGUAGAGAUCUGGAGGAAUACCGGUGGCGAAGGCGGGCCCCUGGACGAGACUGACGCUCAGGUGCGAAAGCGUGGGGAGCGAAACAGGAUUAGGAUAACC